CCUACGGGGGGCAGCAGUGGGGAAUAUUGGACAAUGGGGGGAACCCUGAUCCAGCCAUGCCGCGUGUGUGAAGAAGGCCCUCGGGUUGUAAAGCACUUUCAGUGAGGAAGAACGCCUGGUGGUUAAUACCCAUCAGGAAAGACAUCACUCACAGAAGAAGCACCGGCUAACUCCGUGCCAGCAGCCGCGGUAAUACGGAGGGUGCGAGCGUUAAUCGGAAUUACUGGGCGUAAAGCGCGCGUAGGUGGCUUGAUAAGCCGGUUGUGAAAGCCCCGGGCUCAACCUGGGAACGGCAUCCGGAACUGUCAAGCUAGAGUGCAGGAGAGGAAGGUAGAAUUCCCGGUGUAGCGGUGAAAUGCGAAGAGAUCGGGAGGAAUACCAGUGGCGAAGGCGGCCUUCUGGACUGACACUGACACUGAGGUGCGAAAGCGUGGGUAGCAAACAGGAUUAGAUACCCGGGUAGUC
rnacentral:rRNA from 1 species